rnacentral:rRNA from 1 species
UACCAGCACCCCGAGUGGUCGGGACGAUUAUUGGGCCUAAAGCAUCCGUAGCCGGUUCUACAAGUCUUCCGUUAAAUCCACCUGCUUAACAGAUGGGCUGCGGAAGAUACUAUAGAGCUAGGAGGCGGGAGAGGCAAGCGGUACUCGAUGGGUAGGGGUAAAAUCCGUUGAUCCAUUGAAGACCACCAGUGGCGAAGGCGGCUUGCCAGAACGCGCUCGACGGUGAGGGAUGAAAGCUGGGGGAGCAAAC